GACUGGCUGCUCUGGGGCGGGACAGGGUGAGCACAGUGUUGGUGGGUGUGGAGAAGCAAACAGAACUCCUCAGCUAAACCCUCUCAUUUCAAGGCACUUAAAUUCCUUAAAAAAACCUUAAAUUACUUUAAAUUUCACUCCUCAGCCCCAAGCAGCCAGGUCAGCCGUGUGGCCCAGUCCCUGUUCCAGAGGCUCCAUCGGAGUGUUGGGUCCCUCUCCUCCCUCACCAGGCACACGAGGUCCUUCCUGACCCUUAAUCCCUGGAAAUAAUCAACCUCAGAGGAAACCACAAACCUAAAGGACUAAAGGCUCUCCAUGGUUUGUGAUCCUCCCAAAACACCCUCAAUAUUCCCAUAUUUUGAGGAUGGCCAGUGUAUAAACCCCUGGAUUCCAGGCGGGCUCUCCCCGUUCCGCAGGGUCGUUCUUCCUACGGUGUAAAAUUCCAGCCCAGCUCCUCCUGGGAUGGAGGAACAACCCCCUGUAGAUAUUCACCCACGGGCAAGGCAAGUCUGAGAACCGAGGGUUCAUUUUUUUUUUCCUAGUUCUUUAGCCUCAGUUACAAUACUAAUGUAAAAAACAGAAGUAUUUUAUUUUUUUAAUGGAGCAGCGACAGGAGUCGUUUCUGUUUGGGACAGGAGCACAGGGACCUUCCGUGGAUGGUUGUUGCUUCCAACCACUUGGAAAAAACCUGAUUUUUUGGAAGGCCAUAGUUGUGCUCCAGUGCAGAGGCAGGACAGGCCCUGGGGAGCUGCAGAAACGAGGACAGCUGGGAUCUUUUGGGGUUUUCCAGCAGCAUGUUACGUGUCCACUAACGCCCGAUACGCUCAACAUGGACUAAAUCCAUAUAUCCUGCAUUAAAUAUUACAGGUAUAUUUAUUUCCUGUUAUACCCCUUUUUAUUUAAUCUCUCUAGAACAUGAUGUUUGUAUUCCAAGGUCGGCUCCUGCAUGGAAUUUUUUAGCAGCAACGAGCAGGUGAAACUCCCGUCUUUCCUCUCGGAGACCGAAUUUUGGGAGCUGUUCCGGGACGCAGCCAAGGGGAGAGGGUUUUGUACAAUUAUUGUGAAGAUGCUUCACAUUUCUGUAAAGAUAAAUGAAAAUAAAAGAGCUGCAUGCAGCAACAGGACAGA